GAACGGGUGCGUAACACGUGACCAACCUGCCCUCGGUGUGGGGGAGUAGCCGGGCUAACGCCCCGGGGUAAUACCGCAUACGGUCACCGAGAGGAGUCUCUUGGUGAAGAAAGCUCCGGCGCACGGGAGGGGGUCGCGGCCUAUCAGCUAGUUGGUGCGGUAACGGCGCACCAAGGCGACGACGGGUAGCUGGUCUGAGAGGAUGGCCAGCCACAUUGGGACUGAGAGACGGCCCAG
rnacentral:rRNA from 1 species